UGAACAGAAAAUGAUUUGCAUAAUCCCAACUUUAACCUUUACCUCUUACACUUCGGCCUCUUCUUCAUUUCUCAUCUGCAUCUCCCUCGCCAGCACCAUCUCCAUCUCCGUCGCCACCACAACCAACGCCACCAACACCAUCGCCAUCGACAUCAUCUCAGAGAGUUAUCACUAUCUCUCUUCUCCUUCUCUCCGGCAAUCACCACCACCAACAACAAACCCAUCGAUCCACCUCCAAUUCCACCACCACCUCAAAAUCCACCAAGUCUAUCACCAGAUCCAUCAACAAUUCUCUCUUUAUGUGAAUCAAAUCCCGAAAUUCGAAUAUAAAAAUCAUCAGGAGAAGCGGUCCAUCUUCUUCUUCUUCGUUGAAGAUUCGGGUGAGAUCCCAAUUUAGGUUUUGAUUUCUGGUAUGGAUCUCAUUCUAAACUAAAUUUCCGAUAAUAAACGAUUUCAAUAUCAGAUUCAGAGUGAUAGAGAUUGAUUUUUGGUUUCAUUUAACUUUUAAGAUCGAGAUUCGAUUUUGAAUGAAUAAUUGGAAGUUUGAAUUUGGAGUUUGAUGAGAAUUCAGUGUCGAAAAAGAUACAUCAGUCAUGGGUACUUGUUGAUUUCGAUUAUAGAUACUAUAAUUAGAGAAAGCAAAGAAGAAUCAGGGGUCUGUUGAGAAGAAUCGGGAAUUAGGUAUUUGAGUUACAUAAAAUGAAGAAAUUGAAGCUCUCUAAUGAAGCAAUUGAAAGUUACUGAUCAACUUUGAGUUGGCUUGGUGUUUAUUUGUGAUUGAUUCAAGAAGAAAUUUGAAGAUGUUGGUGGUAUCUGAGAUGGAGUUACCUAAUUGAUUGUUGUUGUGCAACAUGGAAAUGGAAGCAGAAGUUGCUAGGGAUGGAACUGCAUGGAUGAGAGUUUCUAUUGCAAACAACAAGAAUUAGAGUUGAUAUUAUAGACAACAACAAUUAGAGCUAAGAUAUGAGCUGUGUUUGAGGAUGCAGGGAUGUAUUUACAGUGUUGGUGUGGAAAUUGGUGAUUGUCUUUUGGAAACUUAGGAGAUGGCUUAUGAUGGAGAUGUUUUGAUGAUUUGGAUAUAGUUGUGGUUGUUGAGAUUGGUUUGCAGUAUUUACGUACUUUAACAAAGACGUUGGUGGUUAUAUUACAGUUGACGAACUCCAGCAAGCUUGUGUAGAGCAUAACAUGACUGACGUUCUUCUAUCAUUAAAGAAGUUGAUCAGGAUAAUGUAUGUAUUGAAAAUCAUUGAAAUUUUUAAUUGUUCAUAUAUCAUUUUAGGCGAACCUUCAUUUUCGUUAAAUGUUGUUUAUGUAUCAAGAUAGUAGGAUCGAUUAUGGUGAGUUUGUAGCUACGAUGACAAAGGGAUCUGCUGGAAUUGGACGAAGAACCAUGCGGAACAAUGUGAAUAUGAGCAUGAGAGAUGCUUCUGGAGUACUCUAACAAUAUAUCAUGCAUACAUGGUGUACAGAAGCUGAGCUAUGUUGUGUCAUGUGGUGUUGUAUGAGAUGGUGGUUGAUGUUGUUGUAGUAGGAGGUGGUGUUGCUUUACAAGAGCUGAUGAGACUGAAACCAGACCUGAACUGAAAUUGGUGAUGCAAUGGCCAGGUCAAGAAGUGGUUUGUAAGAUGCAGAUGGUUUUUGAAGCAGGGAAUGAGUGAAUGAGCUGGAAUUGCAGUGACUGGUACUGGUAAAGAUGCAAGUGCAGGAAUUGCAUUUUUAGUGAUGCUGCAAACGCAAAAUUGCAGCUGUUGUUGGAGUUGAUCUAUAAGUUUGUGGAACAAGGUUGCAGUUGGUGAAGCAGUGAACAAAUGGGAGUUGAAGUGAAGUGCAGAACAGUUUGAUGCUGCAGCUGAAGCUUGGCCAAUAGAGCUGGGUUUGCAUACCGUUUGUUAAGUUGAGAUUACUGAUAGAUGCUCAGCUAGUAUAUGUGAGUUUUUUUUUGUUGCCAAACCAGGUAGCUUUUUAUAUGCAUGUUACCUUGUGUUUAUGCAUGAAUCAAUGGUGCAAUGGUAGCACAACUGACUAUAUGUCA